AUUGAACGCUGGCGGCAGGCCUAACACAUGCAAGUCGGACGGUAGCACAGAGAGCUUGCUCUCGGGUAACGAGUGGCGGACGGGUGAGUAAUGUCUGGGGAUCUGCCCGAUAGAGGGGGAUAACCACUGGAAACGGUGGCUAAUACCGCAUAACGUCGCAAGACCAAAGAGGGGGACCUUCGGGCCUCUCACUAUCGGAUGAACCCAGAUGGGAUUAGCUAGUAGGCGGGGUAACGGCCCACCUAGGCGACGAUCCCUAGCUGGUCUGAGAGGAUGACCAGCCACACUGGAACUGAGACACGGUCCAGAUUCCUACGGGAGGCAGCAGUGGGGAAUAUUGCACAAUGGGCGCAAGCCUGAUGCAGCCAUGCCGCGUGUAUGAAGAAGGCCUUCGGGUUGUAAAGUACUUUCAGCGGGGAGGAAGGCGAUGUGGUUAAUAACCGCGUCGAUUGACGUUACCCGCAGAAGAAGCACCGGCUAACUCCGUGCCAGCCGCCGCAGUAA
rnacentral:rRNA from 1 species